CAAUGAAGGAAGCAUGGUAGUGUGCACGGACAUUGAGUUCUCGGGUCAAAAUGUCUGCUCCCUCUGAUGCCUUAUUGGCUUUUGAUUUGGGGGCCUGGUUGCGACCCACAUCU